rnacentral:rRNA from 1 species
UACGAAGGGGGCUAGCGUUGUUCGGAAUUACUGGGCGUAAAGCGCGCGCAGGCGGUCUUCCAAGUCAGUGGUGAAAGCCCGGAGCUCAACCCCGGAACUGCCAUUGAAACUGUUAGACUUGAGGACGAGAGAGGUGAGUGGAAUUCCCAGUGUAGAGGUGAAAUUCGUAGAUAUUGGGAAGAACACCGGUGGCGAAGGCGGCUCACUGGCUCGUUUCUGACGCUCAGGCGCGACAGCGUGGGGAUCAAACAGG